UACAGAGGUCUCAAGCGUUGUUCGGAUUCAUUGGGCGUAAAGGGUGCGUAGGUGGUGCUGUAAGUCAGGUGUGAAAUCUCGGGGCUCAACCCCGAAACUGCACUUGAUACUGCAGUGCUCGAGGACUGGAGAGGAGAUUGGAAUUCAUGGUGUAGCAGUGAAAUGCGUAGAGAUCAUGAGGAAGACCAGUGGCGAAGGCGGGUCUCUGGACAGUUCCUGACACUGAGGCACGAAGGCCAGGGGAGCAAACGGG
rnacentral:rRNA from 1 species